GAUGAACGCUGGCGGCGCGCCUAACACAUGCAAGUCGAACGGAGCUGAGAGAAGCUUGCUUUUCUUAGCUUAGUGGCGAACGGGUGAGUAACGCGUGAGUAACCUGCCCUGGAGUGGGGGACAACAGUUGGAAACGACUGCUAAUACCGCAUAAGCUCACGAUCCGGCAUCGGAUUGAGGGAAAAGGAUUUAUUCGCUUCAGGAUGGACUCGCGUCCAAUUAGCUAGUUGGUGAGGUAACGGCCCACCAAGGCGACGAUUGGUAGCCGGACUGAGAGGUUGAGCGGCCACAUUGGGAGUGAGACACGGCCCAGAAGCCUACGGGAGGGAGCAAUGGGGGAUAGUGCACAAUGGGGGAAACCCUGAAGGAGCGACGGCGCGUAGAGGAAGAAGGUUUGCGAAUAGUAAACUCCUGUCGUUAGGGACGAUAAUGACGGUACCUAACAAGAAAGCACCGGCUAACUACGUG
rnacentral:rRNA from 1 species